UUCCCAGCUGCAUGGUGUAGAGCAUGGUGCCAUGGAUCCAAACGGCUGCCCUUCAGACCAGGACAUCUGUUCAGGAUAAAUGCAAGCCGAUGGGGAAAAUCAUGGCCCUCCGACUUGGUGUGCCUGGGGUCACGUGGUCAGAAAGGAGUGGGUGUCACGCUUCCUGACAGCAGCGGUACCUGUCCGUCUCCCGGGCCCCGGAUCUUCGUUGAGGAAGGAGACAGAGCCUGACCAAAGGCAAAGGGAGACCACGGUAUUUGGGAGAAAGAACAGUGGCCUGUCUCUUGGGCAAGUCUCUUUUCCUCUCCAGACCUCAAUUUCCCCAUCUGAAAAAUGGGUCUUCUCGGAAGGCCCUCCCUGCCCAUCUCUGACGUUCGGC